rnacentral:rRNA from 1 species
AGUCGAGCGGACCGGGCGGAAGCUUGCUUCCGCUUGGUUAGCGGCGGACGGGUGAGUAACACGUGGGUAACCUGCCCGUAAGACCGGGAUAACUCCGGGAAACCGGAGCUAAUACCGGAUAACACCGAAGACCGCAUGGUCUUUGGUUGAAAGGCGGCUUCGGCUGCCACUUGCGGAUGGGCCCGCGGCGCAUUAGCUAGUUGGUGAGGUAACGGCUCACCAAGGCGACGAUGCGUAGCCGGCCUGAGAGGGUGACCGGCCACACUGGGACUGAGACACGGCCCAGACUCCUACGGGAGGCAGCAGUAGGGAAUCUUCCGCAAUGACGAAAGUCUGACGGAGCGACGCCGCGUGAGCGAAGAAGGUCUUCGGAUCGUAAAGCUCUGUUGUUAGGGAAGAAGAAGCCCGUUCGAACAGCGC